rnacentral:misc_RNA from 1 species
UCUGGCGUCUGCAACUACCCUCUUCAGCCACUAAUCGCUAUUUCUUAAUUUCUUCAUCCAUGGAGUUUCUUAACCAAAACUCCAUCAAGUUUAUAUAGAUUUUAUGCUCUCAAUUUCUAGAGUUCCCUCUACAAAUGGAGGAUUUGAUUGAUGACGAUUUCGGCGAUAUAUACGCCGAUGUCGAAGUCCAAGCAACUUCUGCUAUAAAUUCUGUGUUAAACUUCGCUAAACUAUGCACUGAACAACAGGAAGGAGAGGAAGAAUGUAAGAAUAAUAGCACUACAGAGGAAUUUAACCGUAGUCUUAGCGAGGGGAUUCUCAAGUCGGAUUUGAAGCAGUUGAGUUCAAUCUGCGAGAAGUCGAACGUUUCUGAGGCUGGUGGAAGUGAUAGCGAGGAUGAUUUGAAUAUAGUAUUGAACGAUGAGGAUUGUAAGGGGUUACCAACUGCUGCGGAGAGGAAUGAUAAUUGCGAUGGCUUUGAGGAGGAGAAGGAUGAAGACGACGAUGGCUUUUGCAGUGUUAAAAAGGGUCAUGGUAAGAAUGGUUUGCAUGCCAGUGCUAAUGGACAUGGAGGUGAACGUGGGAAUGGAGUCAAGGGUGGUUAUAGCUCGCAUUAUCCGCAGUACAAGCAUUUAAAACCGCAUGGAUCAUCAUUUUCGAGUAAUAAUAAAGUCAAUGAUUCUUUGGGGCUGGUUUGUUCUUCUAAAUCUGUCAGAGGUGAUUGGGAAGAUAACAGAUGCAAACAACACAAGAUCUCAAACACAGGUCAGGUUGCUAAUAAUCGUGCCAUGGCCAAUUCAAGUGGAUAUGGUUUCUCACUUCCAUGGUAUAGGACUAUACUAGAUGUGAAUAUUGAUGCAUUUGAAGAGAAAAAAUGGAAGCAUCCUGGAGCACAUAUAUCUGAUUUCUUUAAUUUUGGUUUCAAUGAGGAUAGUUGGAAACAGUACUGCAUCUCCCUGGAGCAACUCCGUCAACAUUCUUUCAUGCAUGGUAGGUUCCAAAAUCAAAAGUCUUCAAAAUUUACUCAGGCCUUUGAAAUUGAAUUGGAGGAUGAGAGAGCUGCUUAUGAGACGGUCACCGACGAUAUUGCUCAAGCUGGAUCUGCAUCAAAAUCUGCAGAUAUGGGAGAGAGGCAGUUGGAAUUGCCAAAAGGCAGAGCAAUUCAGGUUGAAGAUACCACCACUGAACGUCAACCAACAAUGGAUUUAAGGCAUCCACGUAUUUGGGAUUCUGAUGUUGUGAUACAGAUCAAUGUGCAAGAUUCCAAUGGGAAUUCUUCUGGCUCUGGUGAGGAGGAAUUGUGCCAUAUAGAUAGAAGUGGACUUGAAGCAUCAAAAAUCAUGGAUUUAUGUGUGGAUGAUAUACAAGAUGUCCACAAUUCUGGCAGUGAUUGUGUAGAUGAAUCACCUGCAAAGUCUCUGGGAAACAUAAGGUCUUCUUCCAGUAACAGGUGUUCCCAGCCAGUAUCAGACUCUAGUCAAAUGGCUCUGGAUCUUGGUAGUCAUGACAAAGAUCAGAACUCUGAUGCUGAGAGGCAUCAUCAUCAUCAUCAUGAGGCGAAUGCUCAAAUGUCAGAAGAGAUUUCUAAAGAAAUGGAAACCAUAGAGGAAGAAAAUGGCAGGGAUAUGUGCAAGUCAGAUCAAUAUCUGACUGAAACAGAAUUAUCAGUUGGUGAACAGAGUCAUUUUAGCCUGACAUUGUCGUGUUCUGGAAGUGAUUCUGAGGCAUCCAGAGGCAGUUUGUGUAGCAUUCCCGAAGUGUCUAGCAGUCUUUUAAGAAGGCAAUCUUCAGGUGCUACGUUACAGGAGUUGGUUGCAUCUGACCAUAAGUACACUGAAAGCAAUGGAGCUACGAAAAAACCUGAUGACAGCCAACAUUAUUCAAGAAAUAGAAGUCGUAUUCAGGAAGCAAGGAGGAAUCAAAACAGGAGACUUCACAGAGUUGCUGAGCGAAGCAUCCACCCUGAUACUGAUAAUGAUGCCUCUCCCAUGUCUAGGGAUCAGUUAUCCAUUGUUCAUUACAAACGGAUUGAAGAGAUGCAUGAUUUUGGUGAUCACAAAGGAGGAGAUUUACCAUAUGAUAGGCAGAGAGAUGUUUUUAGUUGUUACGGACGAGAAAGGUUUUCUGACAACCAUUUCCGGGAUGUUUGCAGAAAGCAUACUCGUACAAAAUAUCAUCGGAGUGUUAGAGAUGAAAUAAAACCCAAGGAAAGAAGGACCUGGAAUGAGAGCGAUUUGCAUGAAAGAAGUUUUAGGCUGGAUGAUAGAGAAGACAUGGAUAGAGAUUGGGAUUGUGGUGGAAGAGGACUCUCUCCUGAGGGCCUAAUUCCUGACACCUACAGGGAUUCCAGGAGAUUGGUUACCAAGUACAACAAUUUCAAACAAACAGACAUUCAGUGGGGAAGGAAGGGUGACAAAAUCCAAUCGAGGAAGAGAACCAAUUAUGAUGCUUUUUUGUCUGCUAAUAAAAAUGUUGAUGACUUGAUGCUACAAAAAUAUGGGAGAUUGGUCACCAACCGGAAAGGGGAUUCUCUGGAUGAACAAUAUGAUUCACACAUUCCAUUUUUUGGGAGAGAAACAAAUCUGCAUGGAAGAAGAGUUAGAUAUGGUUACUGUCCCCCUAUUAAUUUGGAGAAUUCAUGGCCUAUUAAUUUGGAGAAUUCAUGGUGUAUGGAAACUGCAGAUGAUCAUUGGAUUCUGAAUCAACAGCAUUUGUCCACUUGGUCUCACAGAGAAUCUUAUGCAGCCAAUGAAGAAAGGUGGAAGGAUAUGAUGUCACCAAGAAAGGAAAUGUUUGAUGUCGCUGAUAGGUAUGGGAGACAUAGGAGAGAAAUACGUGGUGGCAAAUAUAGGGGCAAUCAAUGGGUUGACGGUUAUAAUGAUAUUGAUAAUGCAGAAGAUGAUGUUGUUUAUAUUGAUGAUCGGGUUCACUGGAGGAGAAAAUAUAGUCGGAGAACUGGAGUACUGCAUCGAACACAAGGUGAAUCAAUUUUGAAACAUCAAGAUGAUGAGUUUUAUGCCAAACGGUCCUCAUGUUCAUAUGAAAAAUUUUCCAGACAUGAAAGGAUUCACGCUAAGUAUAGAUCUGCCAAUGGUUGGAUGGUUGAUGAUAUGCAGUUGGAGUGGCAUAGGCGCAAAAUGUUUGAAGGAGAAAGCAGUGCUGGCUUUCGUAAUAGAAACUCCUAUAUGAUGAGUAGAGGUGAGUAUGAGCAGACAUCCGGGAGGUGCAAUGAUCCAGUUGACUUGAUUUUUGGGGAAGGAAAGUCCUCUGGAAGAUGUUCCAAUACUGAGAGUUUGUUGUCCAAUGGUAAAUUCAAAAAGAUGGAUCAGAAGUUUGCGAAGGAGCAGAAAAUCUUGAACCAUUUUAAUGAAAAUCAGACUGGAAAAGCAACCCAAAUUGGAAUCUCAAAACUGGAAAACAGCCGAGAUGAUGAGCAAUGGCUGGAUAAGUUUCCGGCUACAGAGCACAAUAAAGGUUUGGAUAUUGAGGAAGGUCAGAUCGUGCCAGAAGAACCAGUCAUAGAGGACCGGUUGGAAAAGAAACAUGAAUCUGGAAAUGCAGCACAUACGUUCAAUAUGAAGAAGAAAAUUUUUUGCAAUGAAAAUGUUUCAAGUGGAUUUGAGAAGGUAUAUGAUGACCAACACAUAUUGGAAACAUUAGCAAAGAUGGAAAGACGAAGGGAGCGCUUCAAGGAUCCCGUCGCAUCAACGGAGCCAGAUAAGAGUCUGAAGCCCCAAGCUGAUUUGGUGCCCUAUACAGUUGAAACUAAACAUGUCAGGCCUGCCCGAAAGAGGCAGUGGAAGUUGGAUUUAUGCCAUUACAGUUAGAUUUAUGUUAUUAUAGUCACAUCUUGUAUGAUCAUUGUAUUGAUUGAGACAGUCUUGAGGAUGGAACAUCUAGACGGAUCAGAAGAAUCAAACCAGAUGUCAUGGCCGAUACAACUUAAUAACUGACAUAUCAGUUGCAGGUCAGGUUGAAUUUUUUCAUUCCAAAGGAAUUGCAGGCAAAGCUGAUCUUUAUGUUAUUUUCUUGUUGAUGUAAUAAAAAUUGAAUGCUUUGAGAGUGUAAAAACACUUUUAUGUUGCUCUUGAUAUUCUUUGAUUUGGCUUUUGGUGAAUAGUUAUGAGAGAUCAAUGCAUAAUCUUCAUUUCUU